rnacentral:rRNA from 1 species
UGGGGAAUAUUGCACAAUGGGCGAAAGCCUGAUGCAGCAACGCCGCGUGAGCGAUGAAGGCCUUCGGGUUGUAAAGCUCUGUCUUCUGGGACGAUAAUGACGGUACCAGAGGAGGAAGCCACGGCUAACUACGUGCCAGCAGCCGCGGUAAUACGUAGGUGGCAAGCGUUGCCCGGAUUUACUGGGCGUAAAGGAUGCGUAGGCGGAUACUUAAGUCAGAUGUGAAAAUCCCGGGCUUAACUUGGGAACUGCAUUUGAAACUGGGUAUCUAGAGUGCGGGAGAGGAAAGUGGAAUUCCUAGUGUAGCGGUGAAAUGCGUAGAGAUUAGGAAGAACACCAGUGGCGAAGGCGACUUUCUGGACCGUAACUGACGCUGAGGCAUGAAAGCGUGGGGAGCAAACA